GCUCGAUCUGGUUGACGGCCGGCACGACGCCCGUCUCGUCGAUCACGCGCUGGAGGUGCGGCCGGUGGAAGUUCGAGACCCCGAUCGAGCG
rnacentral:tRNA from 1 species